UGGGUAGUAUCCUUAAAGAACUGCACCAUAGUGUUAUUAAUGUUUAAAAUUUCUGCUCAUAUCCUUUGAAUGAGACAGCUAG
rfam:Clostridium pasteurianum BC1, complete genome.